UACUUUUUGAAGUAUUCUAACGAUCUGCACCGAUGGAUCCCUCAGAACUUGCAGAAAGUCUCGAUAAACCAGCCAGUAAAGUCGCGAAAAGUAUCGCGAUCCUUUCUGCCUGCGUACAGGAACGAAAAGCAAAGAUGUAAAGUGGUUGAAGAAAGAAAACCAUCAUGGAUAUUUGGUAGAUACUCACGCGAUUGAUUCAGAGUCGAGAAGCAACAUCGCAGGCGACUGAAAGAAGAUCGGUUAACCGAAUGUUUUCAACUGCGAAACCAAGGAAUUCGCCGAAUGAGAGUCUUGGCCAGUCGUUGGUUCGUCCAAGAACAAUAUUUUCGGAUCGAUCAGCAACUGGAAACAUUGAGAUCAUUCUUGAGAAAAGAUAACACUUUGUCGUCGAAGCCGUUGCCGAUUCGCACGUCGCGUCUGCUCGCCAAGCCAACGUUUCGCAACAACCCAUCGAUUUUCUCACGGAUAUCCGCUAUUCGUGUCCUCUUGUCGAGCUUCAUUCGUGCCUGCAAC